ensembl:snRNA U6 U6 spliceosomal RNA
AUGCUCACUUUGGCAGCACAUACACUAAAAUUGGAAAGAUUGCACAGAUUAGCAUGGCCCUUGUGUAAGCAUGACAUGCAAAUUCAUGAAUCUUUUCAUAUUUUU